rnacentral:lncRNA from 1 species
UGGUGAUGCUCAUUGGACUGUUUCCCUGCCCUUUCAGACCACGGAGCUGCUCAUUGGGGGACUUUUUUGGCUCCGCCCACGUGACCCAGCCAAUCGGCCUCAAGAGCAGGAGGAUUGUGGGAGGUGGAGAGAAGCUUGUGUGAGAGAGAGAGGCUUGUGGAAAGCCGGUGGUGGCAGUUGGGCUCUGAGGGUUUUUCCUGAGAGGCUGUUUUGUUUGGCGUGUGUGGUUCUAAAAAUAAAGUUAGUUUCUUUUGACAAGUGGCUCCUGAUUGUGCCCAGCCAGACUGCAGCAGAAAUGGAAACAGCCACAGACAGAACAGGCCAGACUCGUGGGAGUUCCACG